rnacentral:rRNA from 1 species
GAUUAACGCUAGCGGCAGGCCUAAUACAUGCAAGUUGAACGGGAUUUCGGGUAGCAAUAUCUGAAUGAGAGUGGCGCACGGGUGCGUAACACGUAUGCAAUCUACCUCUGACUGGGGAAUAGCCUUCCGAAAGGAAGAUUAAUACCGCAUAACAUAAUGAAGUGGCAUCACUUUAUUAUCAAAACUCCGGUGGUCAGAGAUGAGCAUGCGUCCGAUUAGCUAGUUGGCGAGGUAACGGCUCACCAAGGCAACGAUCGGUAGGGGGUCUGAGAGGAUGAUCCCCACACUGGUACUGAGACACGGACCAGACUCCUACGGGAGGCAGCAGUAAGGAAUAUUGGACAAUGGUCGCAAGACUGAUCCAGCCAUGCGCGU